GCGACUUUGGCGGAACUGGCAGACGCGCAGGACUAAGGAUCCUGUGGGAGCAAUCCCGUGAGAGUUCGAGUCUCUUGAGUCGCA
rnacentral:tRNA from 2 species